AUAUAGGAUUCUUUGGUCUUCUUCGUUUGCUCGAGCGGCGACCCCCAGGAGAGAAGAUAUCAGAACCCGAAGCGCCUCGACUCCCUCUCCUCGCCCCUUCCUCGGCGCAAGAUUGACUCUUGUCGAAACCCUAACCCUCAACCUAGUCCCGACCCAGCUUCUCCUCCGGCGAUAGUGGCUGGUUCUCCAGCGAUGAUGAGAUUCACACCGAUCUCUUCAACCAAACCUCUUCUCUCACCCUUAACAAUUGCGAUGAUGAUGAGACCGAAACCCUAAUUUCCUCCUCCACCGACUCAUCGGACGCCAUUAAUCUUAGGAAAGAGGUGGAGAAAUUGACGGUCAAGGAGAGCUUCGCCGUGGUGAAGAGAUCCGGCGAUCCAUGGCGAAGAUGAUUGUGGACGAGAAGGAGCUGUACGAGCCCCCUACUCUGGAGGAGCUCUUGCAUUGCCUCCUCUCUCUUAACUCUCGCCGCCACCACUGCACCAUCAUCUCCGCCUUCUCCGAGAUCUGCCACCACCGCCGAUAAGCAACACCCUUUAGUUUGGUGCUGAGAAAAUGCAUAAGGGCAGCAAGUAUGUGUUAUUUCUGGAUGAUGAUGUUAGACUGCAUCUUGGAUCAGUUGGAGCUCUAACUGCAGAAAUGGAGAAAAUUCCUGAGAUAUUUAUUCAAACUGGAUAUCCUCUUGAUCUGCCUUCUAGAAGCUUGGGAAGCUAUUGCAUUUAUGAAUAUGACAUGAUACUGGAAUUACCUGAGGAAGCAAACUUUUGUUCUUGAAUCUUACAUUUCAGAGGUUAACUGGCUCAUGAACCAAGCAUUAUUUUUUGUGCACUGCUAUCUACCUUGGGCGUUUGUUGUACCAUAUUUCAUGGCAACUAUACAAUUUUUGGCUGCCAUAAGAGCACAAAUUAGUAACUAUCUCUUCAGAGAAUCAAAUUCAUUAUCUUGUGGCUUUGUCAUUGGCUGGCUGCUUGGUAGUUUGCAUAGUUAUUACACUUGUCUCAACGUGGAACUUGACAAAGGUGGAAAUUCAGUUGUGCAACAUGUCAUCUCCUGAGGGACCGAAAACGUCACUUGGUUCCUAUAACUGGGGACUCGUAUGCAUCGUCUUCACAUCAUUAAUUUAUUUCAGGUAUUUUUUGCCAUGCUCAUAGACAAUUUCUUGUGCCCCAUUUCUGCGAUGCGGUCGUAUUUU